rnacentral:lncRNA from 1 species
AUUGCACAAUAUUUUGCAAUUAGAUAUUUCUUGCUUACUAUUCUGGACAAAGAAAGAUAACUCUAAUUAAAAAAAAAAUUGCUAUUUCACAAUAUUGCGCAAUUAGAUAUUUCUUGCCAUUGUGCAAUACUGUGCAAUUGAAAAGACUUGCUAUUGCACAAUACUUAAUAUAAUAAUUUUGGAUCCUGAUUUGGACCAACUUGAAAACUGGGCCCAUAAUAAAAAAUCUAAGUACAUUUUUGGAUUCAGCAUAUCAAAGAACCCCAAGAUUUCAAUUUUUGUUAAAAUCAGACUAAGUUUAAUUUUGGACCCUUUGGACUUUAGUGUAGACCAAUUUGAAAACAGGAC